CAUCCCUUUAAAUUUACGAACCUAGAUAGGUUACCGGGGGAAAUAUACCCAUUGGGAUAUAGCAAAAAAAUGAUAACACAACAGUGUGAUGCAAGUGAGCUUAACAAUUUGCAGUAGCCUUCGUAAAUCUAAGACAGAUUCAAGAAUGGGAACAUUUGGUGGACAUGUUAUUCCCGGAUCGUUUCUGAUAUAUGUAGGAAUCUGGUACACAAUAUCCACUCUUCAUAAAUAUUUCGAUGCAAAGCAGCGCAGAGUACAAUUUAAA